rnacentral:lncRNA from 1 species
GGAAUUCGUAGGGAGGGGGUAAACUUGUCCUUCUUGCUCUUAAAGAAAAGCCUGCGAUUAAAUGGACGAAAACUAAAGAUACUCAUUAGAAGUCAUAGUAGUGAUUCUCACCACUUGUUUGUGGUGGAGCUCAGAUUCCCUCCCCAGGGACUGAUGGAAGCUCAGCUCCCCCUGUACUAACCUGGAUAUCGUACCUGCCUAUCACUAAAGAGCUGAGUGACAUUUCAUUUCAUUACAUUUUGCAGGAGGCUAAACUUAGGGAACUUUAAAGUUUUUGCCUUGGAACGACGUGCUCAUGCAAGGUUUUUCUGCUGUGGAUUGUUGAUGCUGCAGGAGCAGAUAGACUGAUGUGCCUUGAAUUCCAACAAGGAGAAGGUAGUGUGCUGUUCUUUUUGAAUAAAGAGUGCAUACCUUUGAGAGGCUUUUUACCUUACUGUGUUCCAUUUUUAUUCUUGAUCAAUUCGAUGUGAGUCAUUUAAAUGCCAGGCAACAUUAAUUUAUAUUUACUCAUUUGAAAACUUUGUCUAGUUAUUUGCUCAUAUUGGAAUCAUUUGAGACCUAUCUGUAAACAAUAUUCAAAUUCACUGUCAUGCAACGAGAAUUAACGUGUGUGCAUAUACAUGUAUUGGGAGAGGUAGGGGAUAAAGAGAAGGUAAAUUAUGGCAGUCGUAUUAGGAAUUAACAAAAUGUGAGCCUUUAUAAUAACCAAAUUGGGUUUUUUCCCCCCUUUCGUCUUUUGUCCCUACGUUAGUUUUGACCUCUCCCUGACAAUUAGGAAAUAUUCAUUAGCAAUGAUGUGACUCAGGGAAGUAGUAUAUAAUUUUUACCAGGCGACUUUAAAGGAUUAAGACCUUUCAAUGUAUCUGAUCCAUCUGUUUCUUUAGGGCCCACAUUUUGGAGGAAGUGCCAUGUGAUUUCACAUAGGGAUGUUCAUGACCUGAGUUCUUAAAGCUGUGUAUGAAACAGAUUUUAAGGGAUCCAGGCCUGAUUAAAACAGUUAGCCUGUUCACAUCCCCCCUAUUUACUGUGGAUUACUGGAAGGGAAGCAGGGGUUAAACCAGCAGGUCUUGCUGCUUCCCCAGAGGUUAACCUGGCAGCCGGUUUGGCACCCACAGGAGGGCUGACAGGUAGCAGGAUUUGUCUAAGCAGGCUGCCUGAGAGCCAACAAGGAAAACUGAAUGCUCUGGAUUAGUUCUGGAUUAUGUUGUCAGAGUGAAGGCUGAUGGACAAACUGCAGAGGAAUAAAAUGCAAUCUGUUUGGGGAGAGAGGCAGCGUGCAUAGCUUUCAUUUUUCAAGAAAUGACAAGAAAAAUCAUUAAUAAUUUGUAAAUCCAUGUCCAUUAACUUUUUUCUUUGUUAUCCCAAGACAGCAUUUUUAACAUGAGUUUGCCACUGUCCUAUAUCUCUUCUGCCUAGUGACAGAUGGCAAGAUAGAUAUGAAAUUGGAUUCAUAAAAUAAUACCCCCACCUCCAAGAAAGAUAGAGAUGUUAUUCUCCUAACGACGCUUGGCCUCCCCCACUCCCUCCCCCCAUGAUGAAAGAAAAAGGUUGACAUUGGUGACAUAGCCAAAUACAUGUGUUCUCUCUCUCGCCUCCGUAUUAAAUUUUAAUAUGAUGGUAUUAUGUAAUGAAAUUUAAGCUGAAAUGAAGUAAAUAAUCAUGAUAAUAUUCAUUCAUUUGUUAUUGUAACAAAAUGUGGUACAUGAUCCUUCCUUCCGCCCUCCUGUCUUUCUUUCUUUUCAUAAAAGCACUUGAACAUCAGUUCCAGAAACUACCUGAGAGAGUUAAGAGGUAAGGAUACACAGAAGGGAUAUUUCCUCAAAAAUAAGAGUUACUAAAAUUCUUAAAGAAUGGUUGUGAAAUAGUUUUGAUGACAAAAUUUCCAUUUACUCAUAUAUCUUACCAUCUAAAAUAACUUAGGGCUUGUAUUUUCUCUCAGCAAAUUGUGCUUCAUAAAGUGAAAAGUACCUCUCAUCACGUGCUCUCAGAUGAGACUAAGGAGAAACUAGGAUAUAUUUUCUAAAUAGUUCUAAAAUAUCAAAAUUUAGAAUAUUCAGAUAUCUUCAGUUUUAGCUGAAUUUUCCCUAUAACUUUAUAAUAGUUUUUAAAAUGGAGCUUUGACAUUUAAGGGAGUUAACAAUCACAGACUCUAAAAGUAAAAUAGCAGCAUGUUUAUGUUCUGCUCGUUGAUUUUAGAAACAAAUUCUCUCAUUUUCUAAGAAGAGCUGUUUUCUCCUCAGGAAAUAGUAUGAAUUAAGUCUCAAUUCCUCAGGUAUGGCACUUUACUAUAUAUAAUUAGGAGAGGAAGGAAUUCUCAGUCCCAAAUUAACAUUUUGAGCCUGGGAUGAAUUCCAUCUUGCCUACCCAUUGCUCUGUCAUCUCACUGUGUCUGGCCCAUAGUAGGCACACGAUAAAUAUGUGAUGACAAGACAGAUAAAUCAGUAAAACAUGUUUGACACAAAAUGUAUUGAAUUUACUUUGUUCCACAAGAGGCUAAAAAAAAAUUGCUUCUUAGAAAUUUUAUUUUUGACAACAUUGCUCUAUUGGGUAAUCUUAACAUAUGGAGCAUAAAGAGUAAGAAUAAUGAAUAAAAAACAUAGGUGCAAUUGUUUAUUUGGGAUUAGAGCAAAUAAAAUUUCUUUGUCUUGAAGCGAUGUGAGUCAAUUAAGCCAAUGUUAUGGGUAUGAACAAACUUUCAAAUCUAUGCUUACUUACAAACCAGUUUGACAAUAGACCAUCACUAUAGAUAAUAUUAUUUUUUUAAAAAACUAACCAAUUAUAUCAUUAUUCUCACUUUAAAUAGUGAACUAAAAACUGCAUAUUUAUAUAUUAUAUAUACAGCUUUUUCUCACUAGUUAAUAAUCAUUAAAGACCAUUUGGGGAUUUCUUAGUUUCUAAUAAAAUAAUACUUAUUUUAUUGUAUUUGUAAUAAUAUAAACAACUACAUAAAUAAGCAUCAGAGUGUUGAUUUUCUACAAUAAUACCCUUAAGGAUAAAUUCUGCUUUACUGUGAAGUUGUACUUCCUAAUUAUUUUCAUAUUGUAAUGUACAAAGGAAAGGAUAGUACUUUCUUGGGCACUGGUUUGAUAGACAAAACUGCUAUUGUCUGGAGUCCACCCUACUUCCCGGAGCUAUAGACCUCAAUUUUUCUGAAUACAUUUAAACCACAGGGCAAGAAGCCACUGUGCAUUGGCACUCUGAGUUCAAAUUUCUAAGGUCCUAGACUCAUUUUUUUUAAAACCUUAGGACAAGCAUGUCACAAAUUUAGUUGUGAAAGAAGAGAAACAUUGGGUUUUUUUUUUCCUUGUUUCUGAAGCAUAUAUGCACUAACAAAUGAUGGGAGUUAAAAUAUAUUUCUUCAUUUUAAAUAGUGAAAUAGCAAUAAAAAUAAAGUCAUGAAUAAUACAACCACUUAGAAAACAUUUUGAAAUAAAAAUGAAGCUUAUGAAAAACAUCAUCCUCAAAGAAUGUUUAUAGAAUAAGAGAACUUUAUUUAACUGCCAUUCAUGUUAUGUACAUAGAAGAAUCAGUGGAAAGACAAACAAAUGGGCUAUGGUUUGGAGUUAUAUAAAAACUCCAAAUAUUUACAAUUUUAAAUAUGCUAAAAGAUUGUCAGAGGAAGGAAAGGUUUUACAGAUAUUAUAUGGGUGGUAAUUAUUGAGUCACUUCAGUGAAACCACCUGCAGGGCAGGGUUCCAAGCAAGCCUCUAUCCUUUCCCAUUUUCUCAAAGAUAAGAGACCACCAAGCUUUUUAGGACAAAGAAUUUCUGUGUUUUUCAUGGCUGUGAUAAUUGAUAUGACACAAGUUUGAAUAAACUAUAUGCACCAAAUAAAGAAGGAUGAAGGGAUGGAAGGGAAAUUAGAAUUAUUGUGCAUUUAAAGACUCCUAUGACACUUUCAACCAGAAGGCUGGCUUUCUUAAUGGGAUAAAACUAUUGCAUUACUUUAUCGAUCUUCUUUUCAAAAAUGACAAUAAUCUCUACAAAACUUCUAAAGAGUCCAGGUUCAGAUCAUUUUGUGGACUAAUCAGUUUUGUAGUUUUUAUUGUAGGUGAACUUAUUGUUUUGCAUCUUUGAAAGUCUUGUUUUUUAUCCUUGAAAACAUAAAUAAGAACAUCAAAUUGUAGUAAUGUUUAGAUUGUUGUAGAUUUGACAGUAUAAAAUAAAAAUCUCAUUAAAAGUCAAAUAAUUCAACAACUAUAUAAUGCCUGCAUUUUUAUGUUCAAUGUCUGGUCCAGUAAAAUGAGGAUAAAAAGGGAUGACUGAGUAUGGAAAAUUAAAAUUAUUAGUGUUAAUUAAAUUAAAACUAAUGAAAGAUGUUAAAAUAAAGUCUUAUGGAAAGAAAUCAUUUUAAGGAACUAAUAAAUGUAAAUCAGUGUGAAGAUUAUUCUUUUGUAAAGUUUGGCUGAGAAGAAGAGAAAGAAAAACAAAAGAAUGAUAAUGAGGCAAAGUCAGAGUUAAGGAACAUUUUAUUAGAGUAAAAGAAAUGAGCAUCAUUUUAGGUCCAUGAGAAGGAGUCAUCAAAGGCAGUGCAUUUGAGGUGAGGUGAGAGCCUGAAAAGGGAAGUAAAAUUUAGGAAAAUAAGGAGACCAUGAAACUACCCAAUAGGUGAAUGGAUACAUCUUCUAUGGAAUCACCCAAUAGAGUGAGUGGAUACAUUUUCCAAGUUUAGUGGGAAGACUUUGGUCUGGAGAGAGAGUUUAUGAUAGGUAGCAAUUAUAAUUAAUUUGCAAUGAAGUUAUGAUAGAGAAAAUUUUCUGAAUAAAUAUAGAGAUCACUAUUUCUUAGAAGGAAAAGUUUGAAUAGGGCACAUGAGAAAGAUUGUAGAAGUUUAUAUCAUUCAUUGAAAAGAUUGAAAGGAGUUGCUAAAAGAGGGAGUUAGUAGAAUGAAUGGCCAAAUUGGAGACUACCUUUGUGUAAUAGAAUCUACAAUUUUGUGUGAUUAUUCUUCUAUAGGUUCAGCUGCCUGGAUAUGGAAUUGGAGAAAAUAAAUUAUGGCAAUAAUCCAGAUUCAGGAUUUGUUAGGUAGUAGAUGAAUAGACAUACCCAAGAGUCAAGGAUGUUGGUGACAGAGUAAUUCAGGUGACCAGCCAUGAGGUCCACUCAAGGUAGAGAAGAGGAGGAACCCAGUGACUAGGAAAAGGUACAAAUCAAGGAAAUUAGCACAAUUAGCAAAAGUCAUAGAAACUAUUUAAAUUUAGAUAUAUAUGAGAUGGCUUGUGGAAUAGACAGGCUAAGGACAAAAUGGGAAUUCUAGAAUUUGAAGGAACAAACAAGCACAUUUUCUGUUCAAUAUGGAAGUAUCAGAACAAAUUUUUAAAAUUUUCAAUACAAUUCUAAAAGGCAAAGUUUGGUGAACCCAUCUAGAGAAACUCCCAAAAGUUUGGCCACAAUUUGAAAUAAUUAUAUGGGAGAAUCUAAUUAACUUCAAAAUAAUUUUCUAAUUCUAUAAACAAAAUUAUUCAGCUUCUGAGCAAACUUUUAAGUUGAUUCAUGACUUCUAGGUUUAUGUCAUGACUUCAUGAGGUCAAAAUCAAAGCAUAUGCUGAAGGUAAAGUAAUUUAUUCUUUGAACAAAAGUGUUUUCAGAGUUUUCAUGGAAAUUUUCCACAAAAUAAAAAAAAAAAAUGUAAACGCCUGACCUCCAAAGUGACCCCCACAGCCACAUUUGAAAGAUCAUGAUUCCCGGAAGGCAAAGGAUAAUCUUCUGGACAGAGAGUGGACAAUCCAGCCUCUCGUGUCUAUAGGGACAGGUAUGUUCAUGAGCAGUGACAAAUGAGCAAAAAGUAACCAACUUUCCAGGGGACAUUUCUUUUAGCUUCCAAACCUCUGUAAGCUAGAACACUAUGAAAGUACUACCUUGUAUAAUUAUAAUAAUCUUAGGAAGAAAAGUAUUACUGAAAUCUCUUAAUUAAAAAAAAUUAUGAAAUUCCAACCCUUCCUAGCAUGUAGAAUGAAACCUUCAAAUUAUGGAUUCAGUUCAAUUAAAAAAAUAUUUACUGAGGAAAAAACAUGUGUUUUAUACACUGAAGAAAGUGUUAGGAGUCAUACAAAGGGGAAAAUUUUUAUAGAUUCAAACCAUAAUAAACCCAGGCUUUAAUGUGCCACAGCAGGCCAUAAAUAUCACAGAGAGUGAAUCAGAAAGAAGAGGGCUGACUUAGGAAAAUAUACAUACACAGUGCAAGGAAACCAUAUUUUCCCUCUUGCUAAAAGGCUCUUGGCAGAGCAAUACAGUAACAGCUAAAGGAAGCUGGAGCAGAUGCAAUGCUUAUGCAAAUGUUGAUGUGUGUGUUUUACCAUUUUCAAAGACUUGUUUCCCAAAACUCAAGUGAAGAAAAGAUGUGUGUGUGUGUGUGUGUGUGUGAGAGAGAGAGAGAGAGAGAGAGAGAGAGAGAGAGAGAGAGAGAGAGAGACAGAUUCCCUUAAUGAGGUAGUCCCAACUGAAUAAGUAUAGCAGCAUAUGUUGUACAGAGAUAAGUUGCACAAUCAUGAUGGUUUUCCUCCCUUUCUCAAAUAUCAUCAUCCAUAUUUAACAACACCACACACACACACACACACACACACACACAUACACAAGUCACCUACUCCUGCUUUAUUUUUCUUUAUAGCCCUUAUUAUUUGGUAAGACAAUUAAUCUGGUUUAGGUUUUAUCAUGAGUAUUCUCACUAUAAUUUGUAAACCUUAGGUAAUUUGCAAAUCAUAUUAAAAAUUUUAAAUAAUAGAUAAGUAACUUGGAAGUAUUUAACACAAUAUAUCUUAAGUGGGACAUUAGAAUGCACAAAGGGAGUCUAAAACCUCAGAAAUGGAGAGAUCUUCAUAGAUAAUGAUAUAUCCAUGGGAAUAACUUGGGACCCACUUCCAAGACCCUUGGAGCUAUGCUAUGACUGGGUAUGUUGAGCUACAUUUUGAUUCAGAGGGACGAAAGGAAAAUAACUGUUACUAACUGAUGUGUUAAAAGAAUUAGGGCCUGAGCCAUUGAUUUAAGCCAUUCAAAGAUGACAUGAGAACACCAUCAUUAUCUUUUAUUUUAAAAGUCAUAAUUAUUAUUUGUUAAAAAUUCAAAUAUUAAAGAGAUUAUAUAAAGUCCCCUGUAAUGGCAUUCCUUGGAAAGAAACACUAGAUUUCAGCAACCAAAAUCCCCACAUGUUCUAUGUGAAAUAUGUGCACAUAUACAAUUUCAUACAAUCUGAUUUUCCCCAAGUUCUGCUUCAUGCUCUGGGUUCUGCUUACAGGAGUUACUUCCAGACACAGAGAAUUUUUACUCAUUUAUGACCAAACUAAGAAAUUAUUGUCAAUAUUUCUUAGAGGAAGUUUAAAAUAUUUUUUAAAUUGUAGUAAUGAAUUUAGUUAUUUUCUAUGGAGAUCAAUACUUUAAUGUAUUUGAAAUAAGAGAAAUAAUAAGACAUAUGAGCCAAAACAUGUAUUAAUUUCCUACAGCUUUUUCCUAAGAAUGGAAUAAAUUCUCAUGGUUUAAUUUAAGAUCAUUUUUCCUUUUAUUAUGGACUCCCUUAUAGAAAGUCCUACUGAGGUAUUCAAUUUGCACCUGGAAAUCAACAAAGAUGAAUAGAAACAGAAGCCACAGCAAAACAACCCAUCCAAAUCCGUUAUGUGUUCUGACUCAUGGAAUAGAGAGGCUAAGGACAAAAUAUGGGAUCACCUGCUGUGGAGCAGGCAUAGCAUUAGGGACUGAGAAUAAACAAACCAAAGAAAACGUAGUUUCUAUUAUUCAUUCUUUUCACUUAUAUGCACAGAACAUUUAUUUGUUAAUAUUUCAUGUUCAUUAUUUUCUCUUAAUAUAUGUGCUAGCAAACAUUGCAAAGCUUAAAAUAAUCAUGUAUAUUUUGAAAACAUUCUCAAUUUAAAUUUUCAUAACAUAUAAUUACAAGGUCUUACAAUCAUAUUCCUCUAUUCUUAUGCCUGAACUCAUAUCUACAGAGAGAAACAAAAAUGCCUUGAGAUCAAGGACUGUGUAGUUGAAAGCGUGAAUCGUGGUUUUUGAUUGUUGGUAAAGGAUGAUGAUAAGCACGGACAUGGUGAUGGGCUUGUGGGCUGUAAAAACUAAGAGUCCCAUUGGCUAACAGAGUGUACCCAUAAAACCUUGCUGUCUUUUCACAGUCAGACACUGCCCUGAAACAGGGAGAUGUGGUAAAAGGGGAAAUCUGUCCUGGUAUCUAUCUCCAGUGAACAAUUUUUCUGAGCCCAGCAAACAUGACAAGUUGAAAAUAUCUAGAUGGAAUGCUGGGGGGAAGGCAAGCUUAAUUAUUGAUGUUACAGACCUAAAUUUGAUAGGUGAAGUCAAGAGAAUAAUGAGCUCACUAAGGGAGAGGUAUAAAAGAAGUAAAAGAGAACAACUGAAAGAAUACAAAAACAAAGAACUAUGAACAGAAAGACUGGAGAAAAUAUCACCACAAUACAAAUAGAAUAGGAACAAUCACAUCUCUGGAAGCUGAAGGAGAAGAAUUCUAAGACAGAGGUAUAAGUACAGAAAUAAUUCACAAUCAAAACUGUGGACAUGGACAGAAAAGGUCAAUGGGAUUACUUUUCUCACAAUUCUUUCUUGAUCUUCAUCAUAUGUAACUAAUAUAAACAUCAUGGACCACUUACCCAAUAAAUUCUGCUGAAUUAAAUAAUAUUAAUAGUAUAAAGGAACAAGUUCAGUCAGGAAAAACAAGUUUUCUGUUCUUUUCUUUGGCACGCACUAUUAAUUUUGUGCUUUGUACAAAAGUAGAACUUUGUACCAGGACAAAUUACAACUUUGUGCUUGUCUGCUUUUUUUUUUUUAUAGCAAGCACUAAUCAUUUCAUGAAGACAAUUGCACACAUUGACAGAAAGAUUACAACCUCUUUUACCUUUUAAUUUAUUUUGGCCCCGCUGAAAGGCAAGAGUGGCUGAGAGUCUUUAUCUAUAAAAACAUCUGAAGUCUAAGCUGCCAUAUACACCACAGUCAAUGGAUUGGACUAAUGGGAUCUCUGACAAAAUAGCACUUUCUUCUGUUAUUUCGUCUUUGAAUUUUGAGUUUCUAUACUUGAAAAACAAUGAAGACUGGCUCCAUGUGCUAAACACUUGUGGAGAUAAAAUGGCAGAACUAUGUAGACUUCAAAAAGAUUUUGAGUUACUUUUGAAUAAAAAACACUAAAAGACAAGGAGAGGAAAUGAGUAAUGUACAGAAAGAAUGGCAGGCAAGAGACUGCUGAAAGAGUUGUCUCUGACCCUUCAUUUAGAAUGAUCCAGAACCCCUGGUGAUAAUUUUUUCAAGUAUUUUUGAAUAUGUAUUGAAUUACUGAUGAAAGCCAUUAAAAGUUGACAUAAAAUCCCAUCAUUUUUAACUAUAAAAUUGAUAAAUACUAUGUGUGUGUGUGUGCACGUGCGCAUUUAGUCAUUGGUUCAUUUUUAAAAAAUAGAUGUCUUUGUGCAUCGUCAAAAUGGAGGUGAGAGAUGGGAGAAAAUUUAAAUUCAUGAAUUCAUCAAGUAUUUUUUCAGGUGAACUGUGUAGUAGAUACAUUCAAAAAUUCUUAGCUCAGAUACCAAGAUUCUAGUUUUAUAAAUAAUAGGAAUAAUAUAAAGUGUUAAAAUACCUUCCAUUUAUUAAGUACUUAAUGUUUUUGAGGCACUGCAAAAUGUACUUCAUUACUGCCCAAACUUGGAAUAAGUUGACAUUUAUCUAUCACAACAUUUUUUGUUUGUUUGUUUCCAGAUGAGAAAAUCCAGUCAGUAGAGAAGUCAGUUUUCUAGGACCACAAAAUUUAGUUAAAACCCUAAAAGCAGAAUCUAUGCCUUUCUUCUUCACCAUUAUAUCCUAGAAGAAAGAAAAGUGCGGCAUCCUCACAGCCCCUGUGGGCCCAGGUAAAGUGUGUGGUUUCCAUUUGGCACGCUUUCCACAAUACCACAGUGCCAUUUUAAAUUGAAGAUAGUUAAACUGCAGCAAAUCAAAAUGUAUAUUUUAAAACCAGUUUUAGCAGGCAAAAAUAAAACAUAAAUGGAUCAUUAUAAUUGUCUUCUGAGACAGGUAGUAAUCACAUCCUUACUAACAACUGUGUGAAAAUAUUGAAAUUUGCAGUCCCUUCAAAAUACAUAAUUAUGGAAAUUGAACAUUAUUACUUAAUAAGAAACACAACUCCUAUGAAUUAUAAGAACUUUAACUCAUAUGAACAAAGAGUUAUAAUAAAAAUGCAAUAAGAAAUCAAAUGUUUCAUUGUAGUUGUCCCAUAUAUAUACAGUUCUUUAUUUUAUAAGGUUUAUUGUAUUGUUUCUCUUGAUCUGGAAAAAAUUUUUAUUCUAUCUACUACCAUGUGUUGACUCUCUUAUCAAAUAAAAUAGGAACUAUCAGAAACAAUAAGUAAAAAGAUAUAAAAAGAAGAAAAUGAAAGACUGCAGAAAAGCUAAAACCCCUGCCAUCUACUAAGAAACACUAUUGGGUAUUUCGUGUGCUUCAGAGUUUAAAUUAGGUGUGCUGGAAUGUUAUUUCUUGGUUCCUCAGAAUUUCUAGGAACAGUUUUAGAUAAAUGAAUAGAAAAGAAAUGGACAAAAUCAUUAUUUUAUUAGAGAUUUCACUCACGCAAUCCAUUGAAUAAGAUCUAUUUGAGAGCUUCUAUACUUCAGAUAUUUUUGUAUAUAAAAAGUCUCAGCUGCACUUGUUCAGCAGGGGGAAAGUAAAUGGAUGGAGUAAAUGACAUGGUGAUCUUUCAGACACACCAUGAUCCAGUAUUCUCAUUUUAAUUCCUCUUUAAUUUUUGUGAACUUUAAAAAUUUCUACAACAUGUGUCUUUAAAACAUUUUUAACAUGUCAACUUCUUUUCAGUAAAGGCAGAGCACAUUUUUGCUAGAACCUUCCAAAAUAUCUUUUUUCAUUGUAGCCCCAACACCCAGCGUAGGAUAUAGUACAUUAUAGGAACUCAAAAGUCAUUUCUCAAAGGAAGAAAGAUGUGAAAAAUCUAUACAUAUCUUGACAGUUACCCAGCAAAUUGACUAAUUUCGAGGGCCAUAGCUAAAUAUUACAAAUGUCACUGUAAAGUAAAACAAACAUGAUGGGAGGUGUUAUAAAAUCAAAUAAUCAUUACCUGAGACUUUUCAAAUGCCUUCAAACCUAAAAGAAGGAGGCUUUCAUGGCAGAAAGAUUAGGAAUCUGAUCAUGUGCUAUUUUUUUAUUUUUAUUUUUAAAAUUAUUGGUGCCAGGGAUUGAACCCAGGGCCACUUACCCACUGAACCACAUUCCCUUUUUUAUAUUCAUUUAGAGACAGGGUCUCACUGAGUUGCUUAGCACCUCACUUUUGCUGAGGCUGGUUUUGAACUUGCAAUCCUCCUGUGUCAGUCUCCCAAGCUGUCAGGAUUACAGGCGUGUGCCACCAUGUCCAUCUUCAUUUUAUUUUAUGAAGGUUUGACCUAUAAUUUCUUCAAGGCUCACUAUAAGCAUCGUUGUCCCUAUCUGCAAGAUUGGCCCUGCCUAAGAUAUUCUUCUUUCACAUACUUCUAUAUAUGAAAUUUUUCAUUAAUUUACAGGCUAACAGAUUUAGGAUUUUCCUAACUCCCUUCCAUAUAAUUUACUGCACUUAUACAGGCCGGGAAAAUCCGAUAAUUCAAAAUCCUAUUAAAGGAAGAUAGAGUCAAUUCAAGAAAGCAAGGCUUGUUAGCCAUUGUCUGUUUUAGUCAAUAAGUGAAAGUUACAUUAAGGCUGUUUUUCUUUCUCUUUCACAACUGUAUUUGCAUAAAAUCUUUUCAAAUCAUUUAUGCAUUUCAUUUGUCAUGAAACCUCAUUCCCAAUUCCAAAGGGUAAAGGAGAGUUAACUGUAAUGUAUCAUUCAGUUAGCCUAAUGAGAAAAAGGAGUCAAUUUUAUCUGUCCACACUAAUCAGUCAGUAAGAAGUCAUUCCUAAUUGUCAGAAAACUAUAAUCAAAAUCAGAGAAAAAGAAUUAAAUAUCAGAGUAAAAUUUUUCUAGCUUCAGGGUUUUAUAUUUAAUAACCAAAUGAUACUUGUAAGCAAUUAUACAAUGUUUACAAAGGACAUUUUUAUACUUGUAAUAAAAAAUGUUUUAAGUACUUCCAGACAAGUUGUUUGACUAGGAAAUUAAAAUAGUCACUGGACAAGCAGAAGCUGGAUUUCUAGACUACCUUCUAAAUAUUUUCCCUUUGUAGGAUCCUGAACCAUGAAGCCUGCUCAGCUGGCAGGGAAAACAGCAUCUUGGGGCCUUUUGUGCCCCCAUCAUUGUAGGUCAUCCAAACACUGCUCAAGUAGCUGCUCAGAAAUGCCCCAAUUGAAGAGGGCUUGGGAGGUUAAUUCUGUCAUUACUGCGUUGACAUGAAGCAUGUUGCAGCCUUCAGCACAAAAUGUUACUGGUAAUCUUUUAAUCCCAAAUUAGGUCAAUAUUUUAUCAAGUUAAUCUAGCAUGAAGAUUAAUUGCAUUAGUUACACACACAUAUACACAUGCAGGUUAUUUGCUCUAGAAAUACUUUUAAUCAAAGAGCAAACCCUUGGUUACAAUAGGCAAUUUUUUUUCACUUCUGAAACUAUUGCACACCUUUAAAAAAUAUUUCCCUUUCUCCAACAAUAUUUAUCUUUAUAAAAGAGACAUUUAUUCUUUUCAUUGAUCUUUAGUCAAGACUGAUUUGGGAUAAAGGAUAAUGGUCUUAUAAUUACUGAAACAAUGACCAUUUUGAAAAGCUGAUUUAAGAGAUGACUUCUGAUUGAAAUGGUUUUGAUAGAGUAUCUCAUUCUCUGGCCUCUUACUUCAAUUUAAUUCUGCUUGUUCUCUUAAAAUGGAUAAUUAGUCCUAUAAGGACCAUUAAUAGCUUCCUUUGUGUUUACCUCUUUUUAUCUCUAAGUAUGUUUUAAAAUAUUGUAACGAGAAGUAGAAAUUAGAGUAGUUUUUAAUGUUAUCAUCAUUUUUUUCACUUAUGAAAGUUGGGAUUGAGUUUGUCUUCUUCCACGACCCCCACCCCCCACCCUUUUGAAUCUAAAAAGCAGAAUUUAAUGGGUGGGAAGGUGGAAAUAAAUUGAUCCAAGUGACAUAAAUCUGCUAACAGAAGUCAUUAGAGUGGACAAACACCUUUCUCUCUGAGUUUCUUAGAUAAGAACUAUCUGGUAGUUUAAAAUUCCCAGGCAUCAUUCUGGGUAGUUUUACACUCCCACCCCCAAGACAGAGUUCAUGCCCUGUUUCAUCAAAUAUACAAUGACAUUCUCCAAGGGUCAUGCUAAUUAUAGGAAUUUCACAGACUAUGUUUGAGAAUAUUAUCUCAAAAUUUUAGCUCUUGUCUUCAAAUAUUGAUUUUCUGGCAUAUAAUAUUAGUGAGAAAUGAUAAGUAAAAAGAUCCAGAAAUAUUUUCAUGACUCGUCUUCUGAAUUAUUUAAGACAAAAAAAUCAAAUCUUUAUGUGAAGAAUAAAUCAACAAUAAUUUCAAUAUCAGCACUCUACAAAGAGUAUGGUUGCCUGCAUUUGAAGGUAGGGUUCACAAUCCUGAGUGUCAACCUUACAGCUUCUAUGAGGUUUAGACAAAUUGUGUUGAAGAAACACAGCAUAGAAUUCUUUAGUUUUCCAAUUAUUACAGGGUUAUGUUCUUCUCCCAGUAAAGGUAAGAAAAACUUGCAUUAAUUUUUUAAAAGUCAGCCAAGGGCAUGAUAAACAUAAAUGAAACAACUAUUUCAGGAAAGGGCACUGUAAAGCUAUCUCAAGGAUAAAACUAAGAGAAUCCUUCUGUCUUGAGGUCUAUGCUAAAUGGGUGACCCUUGUGCUGAUCCUGCAAAAAAAAAUGGGUAGUAUGUGAGAUGUUGGAUAUGUUCAUUCACUUCACUAUGGUAAUCUUUUUACUAUUAUGUAUCCAUAUGUCAUGUUGUAUGGCUUUAAUCCAAAUAAUAAAAGUCUAUUUUUAAGAAAGUUUAAAAACUAAAUUUCAACUUUUAAUAUUUCAUUCUGAAAUUCUAAAAAAGCUUGCAUAUACCUUGUAUCAACUCAAAUAAUAGUUAUAAUAAAUGAUCUUCUUUCCCUUUAACCUUAUACAUCAGAAGUAAUAUUAAAAAUUAAUAUUAAAUUUUGGUGUAUAGCUUUCACAUUUUCUUCCAUGCUAAUUUAAAUAUUUAUUGUAAGUAUUUACAUACAUAUUCAUGGCUUUCUUUUAAUUUUUAAUUUAAAGUAUAUAAAAAUAAGAUUGUCCUCAAGUUUUAAAUACAUAAAAGUACACAUGGUUUUUAUCACAGUAUUUUUAUAUAGUACUAUUUAUUCUUUUUUUAUUUAUUCAUUUGAAUCAGUUCUACAUAACAGCAGAAUGUUCUUUGAAUUAUUAUACACAAAUGGAGUAUUUUUUAAACUAAUACAACCUAUAAACUCUUUUCUCUUCAAGACAUAUAGAUCUAACUCAUUAUGUUUAAUAACACAAUUAGAAACUACCUGCCCUAAGCAAAUGCCUCUUUGUCUCUAUUAAUCAAUAAUUUCUCACUGAGAACUUAUGUGCCCCUGUCAAUUCCCAGGAUCAGAUUUGUGUGGUAUUCAAUGAGAAGUAUAACAUGAAAGUUCUUGAUUAUAUAUUUCAAUUGUCAAGAGAAACAAAGACAAACAAAACAGAGGCAGCAGCACUGAUGUCAUGGUUUGGUAGUUAAGAGCUUGGAUUCAUGUGUGUCUAGAUAAUACCCCCUUAAUUCUCUUUGGAAGUUUGGUAUCCUCUCUAUGCCUUGUUUUUCCUAAUCCAUAAAGCAAGAAUAAUGAUAGCAUCCUGUUGUAGGAAUAAAUGAGAUAAGGUAAAUAAAGCAUUUGAUGAAGUACUGAUUCUAGCUAAGUGUUUAAUAAGAUCGAGCUAAUAUUAUUGUCACCAUAUUUAGAUCAUCUGUGAGAGCUAAGUUGUGAGAUAAAGGCAAGGGUUCUAAAUAUAUGAACUGUAGUGUACAAACUAAAGACCUUUAGAAAAACUUCAUAAAAGUAAGGUACUAGGUGAAAUUUUCAGGAUGGAGUGGAUGAGUAGAGGGACAGGAAGGAAUCCUUUUCAAGGUGGAGAACAAAAGCCAAAGGAACUAUGGAGAUGCCAGGAGAGGUAGAUGUGGUCAUGUCGUGAGGCUAUGGGGAAGCAUUGUCCAGAAAGAAAAAUCUGUUAGACUAAAGCAUCAGGUGAUGCCAAACUGGAAAAUCAAAUUUUAUCUAAAAAAUUGCAGUAAAUUAGACCCUUGAACACACCUUAAAAGUAGCUUGCACUGGAUCCACCUGGGCAAGUGUCAGUAAUAAUUCAAAUAAUUAACUUCUCACUCAACAAAAGUUUUAUGAUCUCUGCAAAGAGGGAAGAUAAGAUUGUGUGGGUUGCUCAGGUAAGGCAGGGAGGCUGAGAAUGGCAGCAGGGUUAUACAAAUCAAAUUUGAAUAAACUUAUCUAUGAGGCUAAAGAUGUUUUUUUCCACAGGUAUGUUAUGUGGGAUUGUAGAGUUGGAGGGGGUCUUGCGACUUAACCAGCCUAAUUCUGCCUAGAAGGAAAUAGAAAUUUGGAGAAAGACACAUCCAAAGUCACUCAACUGAUAAAGUCUGAACCAGGACCCCAGUCCAAGUCUCUGGCUCCCAUUUUAUCUCUCUCUGAUCCAUUCUACCUGCCAAAUCAGGGAUAAUGUGAUGACAGCAAUGGUUCAGGAAGAUUGAUUGCACAGCCACAUGCAGGUUGAAUUGAAGGACGAGAGCCUUGGCGAGAGGGUGAGGAUGAAGGCUAAAAUAGUAAUCCAAUCACGAGGUGAGAAAGCCUCAGCGAAGGCACAGGAAGUAGUAUGGAAUAUGAAGGAAUACAUCCAAAAUGGUGCCAAAAUCACAACAUGGAAGCACCAGCCAUUCUUCAAAAUGAUUCAGCGUUGGGGAAUUAACAUCAUCUUCUAUAACUUAUGUUAACACAAAGUGAAUAGCAGCAUGAGGAACUUGAGCAAAGCUUUCAAUGAUGCCAUUACUUUUCCAUAUCUUACUCCCAUGCCCCAGCCCUACAUACACACCAUUACACCUCACAUAAGAAUUGCAGACUGAGGUAUUUCUGCUUCAUCCAGCAUCUCCAUCUCUGGCAUCUCAAUGAAUAUAACAUUGAAAAAAAUAUAUAUGACAAUUGGAAAACCUGAAUUUCUACAGAAUUCUUUUUCAGUUUUCCCCCCUUCUGAAUAGGCAUGUUAGUUACCUGUGUAAUUGUAACUAGGAAAAUAUAUUAAAACAAAUUAUUUUGCACUUUUUCCUUCAGAAAAAGAAGUAGCAUUUCAACAGCUGACUCAAAAUAAGGGAAUGAAGUUGGAAAGGCCCAGCUAUUGAUCCACAUUAGUAAAUGAAUUGAAGACAGUUUACAGGAAAUUGACAUAGUUCAUAUUCAAGACAGUUUAAGCAGUAAGAUCUGUGGUUAUCACAAUUCUAAUAAAAGCACUCCCCCAAGAUUUUGACCUCUGGUAUAUACAUAGUUUCUCCCAAUUAUUCAGUCAAACACUAAUCUAGACACUGCUGUGAAGAGAUUUUUGCAGAUGUAAUUAAGGUACCAAAUCAAUUGACCUUGAAACAAAGAGAUUAUCUGGUUGGGCCUAUCCUAAUCACAUGAGCCCUUUAAAAAUAGGACAUUUUCUCUAGUUGGUUGAGGAAAAAGGAAGUCAGAGGUUUGAAGAUUCAUGCUGCUGCAGAAUUGCUGGCUCAGAAUGAAGGUGGCACCCUAAGGAAGGUGGGCAGCCUCCUGGAGGUGAGAGCAGCCCCAGCUGACAACCAACAAGGAAACAGAGACCUUGGUCCUACCAUUAAGAAGAACUGAACUCUGUCCAUAGCUCCUGAACUUGGGAGAUGAUUCUGAGACCUGGAUGAGAACCACGGUCCCAGGCAACCCUUGACUGAAGGCUGGUGACACCAUGAGUAGAGUCCAGCUACUCCAUAGCCAAGAACUACAGAACUGUGAGCUGGCAAGCAGCUGGCAAGUUGCUAAAUUCUUGGUCAUGUGUCACAGGGCCCUAGAACACUAAUGCAAGUUACAAUUUUUUGCUUUUAUUUAUUUUAUUAUUUUAUUUAUUUUUGGUAUGAGGAUUGAACCCACUGAGCCAUAUCCUUAGCCCUUUUUAUUUUUAUAUUUUAAGAAAAGUUCUCACCAAGUUGCAUAGGGCCUUGCUAAGUUGCUCUGGCUGGCUUUAAACUUGGUAUCCUCCUGCUUCAGCCUCCUGACUCACUGGGAUUACAAGUUCAUGCCACUAUGCACAGCUCCAACCAUUGGUUUUUGAGAUUUUCCAGGGUCCUAACAUCACAUUAAUCAAAUAACCAGCCCCAAGAAUACCUGCAUACUAAUUUGAACAACAUGUAGUCUUUGUAAUGCUUUGUCCUCAUAAAUACAUUUGGAAGCAUAAUUGGCUAUUCUUAGUGGUCUGUAGUAAUUAAGUUUCAGCAAGAGACGAGGGAAAAUUGGCAGUUCCAAAUUUUAAAAUUUAAAUUAUAAGAAGGAUCUUCCUUAAAGAGAAUCUGUUAAAAAGAAUAUUAACCAGAAGGUAGAAAAACAAUAAGGAAUAUACUGAAGUAAAUUUGUAGUCCUUCUGCAUGAGAAAUUCACAUAAAUUAUUCAUAUAGAUACAUGUCUCAAUUAUUUGGCCUAUUUGACCUUAAGGACAAACCAAAAUAUGGCUGUAUUGGUGUUCAGAGGUGACUUAUGCAAAGAUGUUUGCUCCUUCCAUUGAAGACUAUGGACAGUAACCUUCCUUCUAAAAUAAACCCUACAUUUUCCCGAUUUGUCACUAUUCUAUGUUGCAUGGGCUGCUUCCUGGGGGACUGAGAGUAUGUGAUAGGAGCAGGGAAGGGGUGGCAGAGCACCUCAGACAGGAAUACUGCUGAGGGGAACAAGCCCAGUGGUGAACUAUCACAAAACGUUCAGAUGUAGAAGUAGAAACAUAAAGAAAGCAUAAUGCCUCUCAGAAAAAUUAACUAAAUCAAAAUAAAGACAUACUCCAGGUUUUAAGUUUAUUAUAAAAGAAAAUAAUGUGUGUACUUCAUAAACCUGAAGUUUUAAAAAAUGUCCCUUUAAAAAUAUAUAAUAUGGGUGCUAAAAGGGUAUGUAGCUCAGCAAUAGACUGCGCUUUGCAUGCACAAGAGCCUGGGUUCAAUCUCCAGCAUUGCCAAAGAAUUUCUUUUUUGUCAAUUAUAUCUUAAUAAAGCCGGAUAAAAUAAAGCAUAUUGGGAUUAAAAUAAGUCCCCCUCACCCUCAGGCUACUUGAUAAGAUCAUUAGCAGAAAGAUAUUAUAACCUUGAAUUCCUCUCUUAGGUGGUAACACUUCGAUUGAUCCAAAGUAGGAUCAUGUUCUAUUCCUCUUUAUAUUAAAAUUCUAUUUUUAUGAAAUUAUGGUAAAGUUAGGUAAGAGCCUUAUUUUUUCCCUCAAAUUUUUGUUAAAAUCCCACCUGACCCCCCCUCCAAAGUGGCUAACCACAUGAGAGGCCCCCACAUGAAAUAUGUAUGUGGGUACUCUUUUGUGAAAUCUCAAAACCUGGGAAUGAUUAGGCCAAUAAUUACUGUUUUGUCUAAUAAAAUGACCCAGUUCUUCCAGUUUUCCCCUAACUACUUUUUAUAACUUCAUUUACAUACCUCCUUGUCCAGCUCACCAUCAUUUCUCCUGAGGUAAAGUGCUUAUCCCUGGCAACCAGAUUUACAAAUAGUAACUAAUGAAAGUCUACAUGGUGGCCAAGAAAAGGUCAAUAUGUGUAAAUUCUUUAGACAAGAAUUAUGCCAGAGAGUUAUCUCUUGUCAAAGGAACUUUUUGCUGUAUAAGAUAGGGAUACUUGUGGUAUUAAAAAUGACCCUUGGAUCAGAAACUAAAUGCAAAGAAUUUGACUAUGAAACUGAGUACAAAUCCACCUUCUCAUCAGGCCUUCCUGACAGAAGCCUUCUAAAACUAGAGUGUCCAAUGUCUUGGCUUCCACUUCCUCAGGCAUAUUGUUACUACAGACCAUGUAGAGCAAAGUGUGGGGAGGGGAAGGUAUGUGCAGAGUGAAUUGAUAAAAAUAUGUAACGUUUUUAAAAUUUGUUAAAUGUUGUUUCAGUUAGUUUUUUCACCUCUGUAACCAAAAGACCUGACAAGAAAAAAUUUAGAGGAGGAAGAAAUUUAUCUGGGGCUCAUGGAUUCAGAGGUCUCAGUCCAUAGAUGGCCAACUCCAAUGCUCCUGGUCCAAGAUGAGGCAGAACAUCAUGAUGGAUGGAUGUGGUUGAGGAAGACAGUAGCUCCCAAUAACGGACCACAGCCAUCCAUAACCUGCCAUCCGGUUAAUCCCUCUCAGGGGAUAAAUGCACUAAGUUAAGAGUUUCAUUUGCCCAAUAAUUUCAUCUCUAAACUUUCUCGCAUUGUUUCACACAUGAGCUUUAGGGAUACACCUCAUGUCUAAAACACAACAAAUGUGUAUAUAUAAAACAAAUGACUUAUAUCUGUCUUUAAAAUAGAAUAAUAUGGAGAGACAUUAAAGGUCAUUGUUAUUACUUAAUGAUUAACAUUACAAUUAUAACAUUUGAAUUUAAACAGAGUAAAUUAGUUCUCACACAUAAUCCUUAUAAAAGUAAAAAUGUUUCAUUAUCAUUGAAGCAAAAAGUUUAGCUGGGCUCUGUGUUUUCUCAUGAAGUGAUGUAGAAAAACAAUUUUGCAUUAUUACUCCAAAAUUAUUGUUAUUGGUAUUAUACCAAGAACAUGAAUCAUUAUCAUAUCUCAGUUCUAGGAAUGACAGUAUAUAGAAGUAAAUGUCCCACAAUUUAAGUCUCUUAACAUAGUAAAGGCAACAAUAACUUAAAAUGCUUCUUUUUAAUAAAUGUCAUAAAAUUUCAGAGAAUAUAUUUGAAAUAUAGUUUGAAUUCUUUUAACUUCAACAGUAAUUUGAUUUGUUUUGGAUUCCUGCCAACCUUUGACUAUUGUCCAAAAUAUCUUGGAAAUUAAGUCCAAAAUUUGCUCAUAACUAAUAUAGUCUGUAGAACUAUGAUAUGAUUUGGGGGGAGGGCCCCAAUAGACAAUUAAAAACUAUAAGUUAAUGAAUAACAUGAGUGUUUUUCCAGAAACUUUUGGUUUAAUAUAUAUACACACACAUACAUACAUAUAUACAAAUGGAAGAUAAUAUAUAUAGUUAAUACAUAUAUAUAUAUAGUUGCAAUUAUUAUUAUUAUUUUGGAUAUAAGAAUUAUCUCUUUUGUGUGACCUAAAAUUACCCUUUACCUUUCAUUCAUUUCACUUGCUUUGACUUUAUAAAUAAAACUGAAAAAAAUGUUAAUGCAUAAACAGCAGUUUUGAUAGACAGAGACAAGAACAGAUAGCAUUGUGAUAAAACUAGUGGUAGCAGACCAAUAGCACUCUUCAUGCAUCAAACUCCUAAAGCAUUACUGUCCACAUACAUUCUUUAGUUGGCUGUGUUUCUGGGACAAUCCAUGUUUCUUGUCUACAAUGCAUACAUGAAUCACUCUUCUAAGCAGUGCACAUAUUGGUCAGAGUCAGCUUCUCCACAGCUGCCACAUUCUAUGUAUUCAUUUAGAUAUGUCCACUUCUCCUUAGCAAAUGCUCAGCAGUUAAUUAUUUUCACAAGUAAAUGAGGUUUUCUUCAAGUCUUUAUGGGUAAUGUUAUAAAAUAAUCAUAUGGAAAAUGACCAGAAACUCAAGCACUGAUCAUUUGAAUUAAGUUUAUACUGUUUAGUUUGGUAGUAUUUGAACACUUGAAUGAGAAUGUCAAGGUCAUAAUUCUGUUUUCCUAUCAUAGUAAAGUUAUGUAGAUAGUGUUUUUUUUAUUGGUUGUCCAAAACAUUACAAAGCUCUUAACAUAUCAUAUUUCAUACUUUAGAUUCAAGUGGGUUAUGAACUCUCAUUUUUACCCCAAAUACAGAUUGCAGAAUCACAUCGGUUACACAUCCACAUUUUUACAUAAUGCCAUAUUAGUAAUUGUUGUAUUCUGCUACCUUUCCUAUCUUCUACUAUCCCCCCUCCCCUCCCCAAAAAUCAAUUUUGAAUGAAUACAUGAUAAUGGGGUAUUUAUCCUUUAACACUUUGUUUUGAAACUCUUUAAACUUGCAGAACAUUUCCAAGAGUAGGAAGUAAGCACCCAUAUAACAUCAUUGCCUGGAUUUACCAAUUGCCAACACUUUUUGGGGGGUCACAUUUGCAUAAUCAUGUAUGUGUCUGCAUGUGUCUGUUUUUAUGUGUGUAUAUUCACAUAGACAAUAUAUACAUGUAUACAUCGUCUGCAGCUAUAUAUACAUAUAUGUGCUUGUAUGUAUAUGUUUAUAUAUACAUAUAUAUUUAUAAUAGCCAGCACACGUACAUGUACAUUUAUAGCUGAAUCAUUUGAGAAUUAAUGAGAUGUACGUUCAUAAUCUUAUUCCUAAGGCUAGGUCUUGUCUAGUGGCAUGUGCAAAAUAACACUUUUACUUCUAUUUUAAUAUUUAAAUAUAUUGCCUUUCUCAUAAAAGUUUUUAAAAGUUUGUACAAUAUAAUAUUUACAAAUGAAAAGAAAUUUUAACAUCUUUUCCUCAAUUACCACAAAGUCAAAUCACAUUUUAGUAUUUUACUUAAUCUAAUGUCAAUAAUUGGCCUCCAGACAGUCAUCUCUUCCCUCCCUUCCCCUGUUCCCCAACUCCAAACUUAUUCUCUACUUGCAGCCAAAAAUCAAGUAGAACUAGAAUUGUCUGCUGAGAACACUCCAUGAUUUCCUAUCUCACAUAAGUGCUAUACUGCUUUCUUAAACAGACUAUCAGAAACUCCACUUAUUCCUUGGACUCCUUUAACAUCAUGUGCUGCUUACUAUAGUGAUGUAGCCAUAUGGAUGUUUAUAGCAGCUCAACUCACAAUAGCCAAGCUAUGGAAACAGCCUAGGUGUCCUUCAACAGAUGAAUGGAUAAAGCAAAUGAGGUAUAUAUACACAAUGGAAUAUUACUCAGCCACAAAGAAGAGUGAAAAGUAUGGCAUUUGAAGGUAAAUAGAUGGAACUGGAAAAUAUCAUGUUAACUGAAAUAAGCAAAUCCCCAAACACCAAAGGCAAAAUGUUCUCUCUUGAUUUGUAGAUGCUAACUCACAACAAGGGAGAAUGGAGAGGGGAUAAAUAGAAACCACUGGAUUACACAAAGGGAAAUGAAGGGAAGGGAGGGAGGAAGGGAAUAGAAAGACAGUAGAACUAAUUGGUCAUAACUUUUGGAGCCUUAUAUUUGUAUACACAACCAGGGAAACUCCACAUCAUGUACGACCAUGAGAGUGGGAACCUAAAUAGAAUAAGUUACACUCCGUGUAUGGACAUUCUACCAAAAUACUUUCUACUAUCAUAUAUUAUAUAACUAAAAAAAAAUAAAAAUAAAAACUUUCCUUGCUGCUCCUCACAACCUUAGCCUUAGGGCAUCUGCACCUCCUUUUGCCUCUGCUUGGGACAUUUUUCCCUAGAAUACUCAAGGCUUAUCACCCUCUGCUUAGAUCUUGAUCUAAAUACUAUCUUCUCAUGGAGUCUUUCCAUAGUCAAUCUGUUUUAAAAGUAAAAAAAAAAAUGCAAGCAAUCCCUAUCCCUUACCUUGCUUAAUUCUUCUCAUGGGCACUUACCAGUAUCUCAUAUACUAUGUAUUUUAUUUAUUUACCCACAUCCAAGCUUUAAAAGGUCAAUGCUUGCCUGUGUUGUGCCCUGCUAAAUCACCAGUCCUGUAAUGGUGCCUGGCAUGUUGGAGGUACUCUCUAGAUAUUGCAUACAUAUUUUACUUUGUGAAGCAUUUUCAUCUUUUAAAAUUUUAUUAGUGCAUUAUAAUUAUGCAUAAUAGUGUGAUUCAUUGUGACAUUCAUGUAUGCACAUAAUAUAAUUUGGUCAACUUUAAUUUUACAGUACCUUCUUUUUCUUCCCCCUCCUCCCUCCUCUGGUCCCCCUUCUUUACUAGACACCCUUUAUUUUAAUGAGAUUCCUUUUUCCCUUUUCCUUUUUAGCUUCCACAUAUAAGGAAAAACAUAUGACCCUUGACUUUGAGUGUAUUGAGAGCAUUUACAAUAAUGCCCUCAAGUUCCAAGUUCCAGCCAUUGUCCUGAAAAUGAAAUUAAAACUCCAUUGUGUACACAUGCCACAUUUUCUUUAUCCAUUCAUUUGUUGACAGACAGCUAGGCUGGUUCCAAAACUUGGCUAUUGUGAUUUAUGCUGCUAUAGACAUGGGUAUGCAUGUAUCUCUAUAGUAUGCUGACUUUAAUUCUUCUGGAUAAAUACUGAGGUAUUUUUAAAAUAAAGGAAUCAUACAAAUACAAACAAGGCAGUGAAGUGAUUAUAUUAAAAGUUUAAGUCUCUUUUUGCCUAUAUUACUUUAGGAUAGCCAUGAAUAAUAUUAACUGCUCAAUUUUGCAAGCAUUCGUGCUCUUCCGGCAUCUUCCAUACCCACUAGCUUUUAAAUGUACUAAUUAUUUGUUGCCACAUAACAAGUUACUUCAAACUUAGUGGCUAAAUGUAACAAAUGUUUGGUAUUCCAGACUCUAUGAUGAGGAAUUAGGGUGCAACUUAGCUGGUACGUUGGUUCUACACCCCUUGCCACAUCUCCCAUGAGGGUGCAGUCAAACCCAGGGCUGGGUCUGCAGCCAUAUAAGGCUCUCCUGGGUCUGAGGUAUCUAGUUUCAGGUUCACUCAUGUAGUUGCUGGCUGGCCUGGGUUCCUCAUCACAUGGGCUGCCUGAGUGUCCUUAUGAUGUGGUAAUAGAAAGACAGUGGAAUUAAUUGGUCACAACUUUUGGAGCCAUAUAAAUAGAUAAAGAGAGCUAGAGAGAACUUCCAAGACAGAAGCCACCAUCUUUUAUAGACUAAUCUCAGAAGUGGCAUCUUAGUCCCUUUCACAUCCAAGGGGAGAUUAUGCAGGUGUGACUAGCAAGAGGCUAGGAUCCCACGAGGCCAUCAGAGGCUGGCUAAAAGUACUGAUCAUUUUAUAGAUAUAGGAGUUGAAACCUAAAGAUGUCAAUUUUUCCCAAGUUACAUAGUCAAAGGGCAAUAAAGAAAUCCUGAAUGCCUGCUCAGCAUCUUUUCAGGAUUAUUGAUAAAAUUAAAUUAUAAUAAUUAUUAUUUUCAAAAACAAAAAUCAAGAAAUACAUUUUUACCUCUCUAGAUAACAGGCACAACUUAAUCACUUUAUGUAGGUCAUCACAUUUAAUCCAGAAAACAAUUCUAUUCUUAUGAUACACAUUUUACAGAUAAGAAAAAAUGAAAUAAAGGUCACACAGCAAAAAAAGUGUCAGGGAUGACCUUGCAAGUUAUCAGUCUGGCUUGAGUGGUUGCUCUCAAAACCAGCACUCUCUACUGUAUGUCUCUUAGACAGAAAAGGUGUACUCAUUAACCCAGAUACUCAGGAGACUGAGGCAGGAGAAUCUCAAGUUUAAGGUCAGUCUCAGCAACUUAGCCAGACUCUGUCUCAAAAUUCAAAAAGGACUGGGGUUGUAGGUCAGUGGUAGAGCACCCAUGUGUUCAAAACCCCAGUUCCAGGGGGUGGAGGGAACUAAAGCCAAAUGGUUUUCUUAAAUUCAUCAAAAUUUAUUUUAACUCAUCAAAACUUGAAACAAGAGAGUUCUGGUGCUAUUUUAAAGUUAAUCUGUUCCCUCAACACGCAAGCAAAAACACUUCCUAUUAAAGAUUAUAUUCAUUGUGUAUACUGUCCAGUAGUGAGAAACCAACAGAACAAGUGUGUGUCUGUAGUAAGAUCUGGUCUGGGUGGAACAUCUACAUGCUAUGAUGUUCUCAUUGCUCCCCUCUGGCAAAGGAAUAAGAAAGCCACACACAGAAUACCAUCCAGUACUUGGGAAAUACCUCUCCUCCUCUCUUUCUUCUUUCCAGUUUAUAGAAGUUCCCCUUCCAAAUGGCAAUAAGUCACUCCAGAGAAUGCAUUUUCUAAAGGAUGAUUGCCCUUCUUGAGUAGUGACGCACUUAAGGCAGGCAUGCAGUAAUCCCCAGAAAUGUACCGCCUGGAGUGUCUUAUUGCUUAAUUAGAUCUGGCACUGCGCCACUUCUUCUUAGACUUGAACCAGUGCAAGAGCCUUGGAAGGAGGCACGGGUAUAAGAAGUGCUAUUUCAGGGGGAUAUAAAGUGAUGGCACAAUGCCAGUCUGCAGAAAACAAAGCCAAGAGUUCCUGCUACGGCGAUGAAAUGUCAAAAUGCCUGGCUUUAUUGUAGUCAGAGAUUAAACCCAUCGCUGUACCAUGGCUGGGGUUUAAACAUGAUCUCUGUUGUUCUAAAAGACUUUAUAAUCUUCACUCACAGGACCACAGGCCAUAAAAGCACCCAGUAAUUUGGAAAAUAUCACAAAAAGUUAAUUGUAGGAGUGUAGAAGCUGUACGUUGAAGAAGCUUAGAUAGAGAUCACAAACUAGCCAAUUAUUACAACAAUAAAUGUAACUUUCCCCCAAAGUAUUCAUUGAACAGAAGGGAGAAGUCUUCAUUUUAAUUAUGUAAACACAAUCUCUUACUUCCUUCAACAGCCUAUCAUCUUUUAUAAAAAAUAAUACAGUCAUGUGUCACUUAACAACAGGGAUAUGUUCUAAGAACUGCGUCAAUAGGCAAUUUUGUUAUCAUAGGAACUUCAUAGAGUAUCCUUAAAAACCUGGAUCAGUCACUAGAAAUAGCCUCUUGAGACAAUCUUCUGAAGCAUAACACAGUCCACUCCUUUACAGUAACUUUCUUUAAUAAGUAGGAGUAGACUUUAAAAAUAACCAUACAAGUAUAUACAUGAGCCAAUUGUAUGUGCUAUACCUUUGUACCACUGGCACUGCAGUAGAUUUGUUUAUACCAACAUCACCAUAGCAACAUGAGAACUGUGUUGCACUGUCACAUUCUGACAACCAUGACAUCACUAGGUGAUAGGAAUUUUUAUAGACUUACGGGACCCUUAUUUGCCAUAAUGCAGUAUAUUAUGCGGCACAUAAUUGUAUUACAUUUUACCAAAGAGCAAAUGUCUAGUCCUCUUCAGCUGCAUUGUAAAACUCUGAGGCUCCAGGUAAUGUCAACCCCAGCUUCUCUAUCUGCUCAGAAGAUUUCUAGAGAAGUUUUUUGAGCAUCAGCAACACUAUCCAUUGUACAGACAAAUUUUACCUUUACGUAAUCCCUGUAUUUGUCACUUCCUUUUUCAGUUUUGAGACAGUCUACCUGGAGUCCUCAUUAACUAGGUCCUUUGCUUCUUCCUCAGCAAUUGGUUCUGCCUUGCCCAGAGAAUCCAUGGAGACUGAGUCAAACUCCUGUCACCAAAGGAUAUCAACUCUGUGCAAUGACAGAAUGAUCCAUAAGAACAAAUCUUUGUUUUUACAAUGAAUGAUGAUGAAAAAAUGUAUAUAAUUAUUCUUUAUAAACAAUCCUGUAAAAUCAUCAGACACCUAUAUUGUUUUUUCAAGAUCUACACUAUGUCUAAAUCAACAAUUUAUUCAAUACUUAGUAUGUUUCCCUGAGCAAUAUAAACUAGUCCUCCCCACCAGUAACAAUGUACCAGGAGCAGACGACGACAUAGACUGAACUACCUCAUACCUAAUAUCUGUCCAGUAACAAUGUACCUGGAGGCUUAGAAUCAGAAAGAAAUUAUUAUUAGAAGUCAAGACUAGCAAAACAAUACAUGGGACUCAGGGCAACAUGACAAUUCUCGGUUCUGUCUCUAAAAAUUAUUGAGCAUUAUUAAGAAUUUCAAGACAACAGUGGGCAUAAAAUAAACUAGGGGCCUCAAUGAGUGCAGACUUUUGUGAAAUGAUAUGUGUCACAUCCAUACAGCUGGCCACACCAGAAAUCUAAAAUGCAAUAUUAACAUUAAAUGAAAAUCAUUUAAAUAUAUAUGCUCCAUAGCAUUGAUAGAUACACAAAUUUUCAUAAAUCAAAGUAGCCUGUUUUCAGCCCUUCCUUGUCAAAUCAGCAAAACAAACAGAUCUUCACACCAAAUUACCAACCAAGAAACAAACAGCUUACAACAGAAUUCAUCUUCAGAUAACUGAUGUCCGUGCCCUUCUGGCAAGGCUGGUGAAUAUUCUGAAACUAAAAUAAGAAUUUUAAAAAUAUAAUUAUGAAUGUGUUGUAUUCUGUUAAAAAGAAGGAGCUGUGAAUCUAUUUUUUUUAAGUUUAAAAAUGAAAAGCAGCAGUGAGACAAAAGAGCAUACAGGGGGCAUGGGAGAAGAUAGUUUAACAGUGAAUUAUCUUCCUGGUUCCCACUGAGUCUUUCAGGACAUCAUGUUUUAUAAUUUAACUACAAGUUUGGAGUUCAGUGUUCAUGGUGCUGAUAUCCAGAAAUACUUCAUAACUCCAUAAGCAUUUUUUUUUGUCUUUCUUUAAACAGCAUGUCUUUUUCCAUCAUGAGGAACUGGGAAAAUAAUUGACAUCAGCCUUGACAGUGUUGGAGUGGUGGGUUACAAGGAGUCUCCUGGUGGAGAGAAACAAAGAGCAGAUGACGACAUAGACUGAGUUACCUCAUACCUAAUAUCUGUCCAACAAGGACUGCAAUUAGAUUUAUGUGCUGAGAAAUCGAGUAAUCAUUGAUGUUCCAGGCAAAUGUCUCCAAAGCUUAGAUUUUACUGGAUCAUAUCAAAUGAGGGAGAAGAAACAGAUGUAUUUUCCCAACUGGGAAAAAAAAAAGACAGAGUUGUGGCUCAGAAAGAAACUAUGUGUGAUACAUAUGUGCCUGAUUAAUCUACAGUGCCUUUCCUUUCACAUAUAUCUAGAAUAUGCAAUUUAUUUCGAUGUUUAUGUAUCGUUUGAUAUUCUAUCGGCUUGAGAAAAAAUGACUGCUCCUAUAAAUGUCAUCAUGGAGUAGAAUUAUAACUUGUUUGUUUAGAUAACUUCUCUGUUUAUCUCCUUGAGUUAUUCUGAUACCGGCAGUGACUCAUACCACUCUCUUACCUCUCUCCAAACCAUGUAGUUGGAAAGUCUCUAAAGAAAGUCAUUUUCUUUUUUAUUUUAAUACCAUUUUCUCCUUUUGGCAUGUUCUUUACAACCUUCCAAUUUAUAUUUGUCUCUUAUUUUGAGAGUAUUUGAAUGCCUUCAGACAAUAUUUUCCACUGAAUAAGUGACCUAUGAGCUUAUAAUAUGAGAAAGUACUGUUAUUGCUUCUUAUGUUUAGUUGUAAGUUUAGAGUUUAUAACUGACCUGCUGAAUAAAAGUUUUUACACUUAAAAAUAGGGUCAAAGAUACCCAACAAUAUAAAAUGAGAAUAUUAUAUCCUUGUCCCUGACCCUAGGAUUGUGGUUUUCUUCAUAUUACAGACUGGGAAAGGAUUGUGUGAAUGUUUUUGUCCCAUUUACCAACAUUUCUAAGUAAGAAACUUCCCUCUAGUACAUUCAGAAAGUUCCACACACUCUGUAAGUUUGGAGCAGACCAUAUAUGUUCUAUAAAUUAAAAUUUUAACACCUUUUUUCUAAUAUUGCAAACCUGAUUCUCUUUUACCCCUACUAAUUUCAAAGUUCAUGUACACAUACAAAUUUUUUUCCACUUUUCUUUUUUCCCUCCCUCCUUUGAUCUUUUCUUCUCUCUUCCCCCGCCCCUUUUUCCCCUUCAUUUCUCCCUCCCUACCUUCCUUCCUUCAUUCCUUCCUUAUAUCAUGAUAUUUCCACAUAAGUUCUUGUACAAAUAAACUUCUCUAGAGAUCACAUGGCUUUCUGGGACCAUUCUGACUUCUCCGCUGGCAUCUAGGAAGGUACCACUGAGAUAAAUGGGAGACUGGACAUUAUUUGCAUUCCCCCUUGAUUGAUGGAGGUUACUGGGUUGUUUACAUGAUCUUUACUUCUUCAACAUCCAAAGAGUGAACCACUAUUACAAGAAAUGUUUAAUUAGAUGUCAAUGAAGUAAGCUGAAUACAUGCAGCCAUAAAAUUAACCUGGGAACUCUAACCUUAGCUUUUUUAAGUGGUUUAUACAACUACUUUGUUCAGGCAUGAAAGUUGUCAGUACAUGUUCUGCCUUACAUUACUACUACAGGAGGAAAAUGAAUAUAAAUUUUGUUUGUUUUUUAUUCCCCUAUUGUGGCUAUAAAUUAAUGCUGUUUUGUUUUUCCUUAAAGAGUGUAUGGAAAAAAGAGUCUCAACAUUCUGAUUUAUUUUUCUCUUUUAAUACUCUCUCACACUGUUAAAAACUGAUUGCUCAAUAUUUUUGUUUGUAUAGAAGCACCAAAUCCUCAUUUUAUUUCUCCAGCCCUUCUAACAGCUCGUGAGAUGCUUCAUCUACAAAACAUACAUGAAGUACAUUUGGUUCUGUCUGUCUUCCUUCGUUUAUACGUGCUACUAGAUUUCUGGAUUCCAGUUGGAACCACAGGAAUAGAGGUAUUCAAAUACAUCCAGUUUUUAAAAAGAGAAAAAAUACUAUCUCCAUUCUGUCUGUCAUCUUUUUCACAGUUGACAUAAAUUUAAAAAAACAUAUUAAUUUUGGAAAACUGCAAUCUCAACAUUCGUGAGACCUAGAUGAGUAUUUUCUAUUAUACCUAAAGGUCUUAGUUAUCAUACAUCUGCUUUAUUUCACAUUACAUCAAUCUCAGCAAUGAUCUGUUAUUACUUUUUUUUUCAGUGCUGGGAAUUGAACUCAAGGCCUUACACACUCUAGGCAAGUGUCUAUCACUGAGCUAUGCCACCAGCUCCUGUUAUUAUUUUAUGUAGAUAUUGUCAGACACUUAUCCUUAUUUAAAAUAUAUCAUAACUAAAUAUUUAAAAGCAUAGCAAGAAUGACUACCUAAUUUAUGGGGCCAGUGCAAAACGAAAAUGGAGGGCCUCUUGUUCAAUGUUAUUAAGAAUUUUAUAACAAUUAUAGCAGAGCAUUAAGCCAAAUUUUAAGUCCUUCUAAAUGUGUGGCCCUAUGCGACAGUCCAGGGCAGACAUCUGCAGAAGUUGGCUCUGUUGCUAGUAUAUUUCAGCUUCUUCUAAGUCACAAUUCUAGAACCACAUUUCCUACCAAUCUCAAAAAUUUUGGGCCUCUUAUUUCCAUAUAACAAGUAAAUACACAUGUUUAUUCCCAGAUUACUUUAACAAGGAAACUUGAUUUUUGUUUGUUUGGUUGGUUGGUUGGUUUUUUUUAGAUUUUUGUUUUGUUUUUACAUUUCUUUAGUGUUUGGUUUUCUGCCAGGUUGGUUUAAACCUCAAUGAUAUUAUUUUAAAACAGAAGAAUACUAGUUCCCCACGUGAACAUAUUGGGAAUGGGGUUGAAGUAAAGCCUUCAGAUUUGGAAGUUACUCAUUCCAUUUGGAAUGCUUUCCCAUCUGCAAGUUCACAUGAACUACAGUAUUUUUGCUGAGAAACAAACCAGGUUCACAUAGUAACAAACUCUACUCUUACCCACAAGCCACUCAGCCGUUCUGUAUCAGUUAGUCUUUAGUCAGCAGCCAACUCUUGGAUUGUCCUCAUGCAGCACCUUCUUGAAGAAGGUGAUCAAGAAAAGAACAGGAGACAGUCCAUAAGGCAAAUGCUGCCAUCUAGAGAGACGGAGAGGAGAACGUCACGAGAGGAGUAAUUUUCCAAAUAAAAAUUGAAAAAAUAAAAACCCUCAGCUGAUGAGUGAGAAAUUCUUCCAAGAAGAUAUCAUUGUUCACAAGAAAUCAGCAUUUCAUAAGAAGGUGGCAGGAAGAAUUCAUCUAAUUUGAAAAGAAAGCUUAUUUGAUUAAUGAUUCUGUGGAAUGGAGAACCUAUGAAAGAUCUUCUUCUUAAAAUUGUACAGCAGGAAACUUCAAAGGUGAUUUUUCUAAGGCUAUGUAAAAUAACUGCAUCUCAACUAAUUGUUUUACUUGUCUAAAAUGUAAAUAACAUAUAGCUUCAUUUUAAAAUUUCUCUUGUUUAAGCAAAGUCACAAAAGUUGGAAUUAUCUGUAGUAGAUUGGUCAGUUUACCUUGUUUUCAUGGUACAUACAAUAUAAGGACAUACUUGGGAACUCUGUGUAGAUUUAAAACAGUAUAAAUUGAAAAAAAAAUCAAACAGACAAACACAAAGGAACUGCUAAAAAUGCCUGAAAAACCAAGGGAAAAGGCAGGGAUCUAACUUGUCUCUAUAUAUUAUAUGUGCAAUCAUUUGAACAACUCAUAUUUCAAAAAUGAAUAGUGCACACUGAGAUAGCAUUACCCGAAUCUAUUCGGUUAGCUAUGUUCCCAAAACACUUCUACUAACUCUUGUGGCCUACAUUACUAGAAAACAAUUAAAUUCUUCUCUAAGAGAGAUCCUAAAUCAUUUUACAAUCCAAGCAGUAACAACUGAGGAGGAUAUACUCUUUUCCAUUCAGCUACUCAGAAUUUAUUUCGGUGAAAGUUUUGAAAUUUAAUAUUAUAUUGUAAAUUCUAAAUGAUUCUGAGCUGUAUAUUUAUGUGAGAUAUAUGUUGAUAAUAUAUUCAUAUUAUACAUGUACAUAUAGUGAUAUUUUUCAAAUCAUAAAAAUGUGUAUACAUUGAGAUCUGCCAGCUUUAAUUUACUUAAAUAGAAGGUCUAAUGCCUCUGCUUAUUGAAUAAUAAGAAUAGCAACAAUUAUCUUGAUUUAAUAUUACCAGCAUUAUCCAUUCACUCAGGAAAUACUUAGCAAGCACCUACUAUAACCCAGAAAUUACAAUAAAUGUGGGGGUACAGCAAUGAAUAAAUAUAGGUACACAACUCAAUGUAAGCUUCAUAAUAUCCCAAGGGCAGUAAGUGCUUCCCAAUUUUGAAAAACUUGUCCAAGACCUUAUUACGUACAAGUGAGGCAGUAGAUUUUUAUUUCAGUCACUGCUUAUUUAUAAAUCACAUUUUUAAGUCACAUUGUAUUGGCUCCCAUUUAGUCAACCUUUCCUACUCUGAUGAAAGCUUUAAGAAAUAAAUUUUGUUUUUCCAAUGAUUUGUGUAGCCAUAUGAGGUAAAUAUCAAUAUCAUUCUUGGAAAGUUUUUGGAAAACACUUAAAUCCUUCACAGGCAACAUCACUAGUCAUUAAGGGUUGCAAAUCCAAACGAUGAUGAGAUGCCAUUUCAUGUCCAUUAGGAUGGCUAUAUAUAAUUUGGUGGGAGGUGGAGAGAAAGGAAGAAAGGAAGGAAAGAGGAAGAGAGGACGGAUGGAAAAGAAGGAAAUGGAAAAUGUUGAUGAAGAGAUGAAAAAUUGGAGCCUUUGUUCAGUACUAAUAAAAAUGUAAAAUGAUGAAGUCACAGUGGAAAACAAUUUGGCAUUUCCUCAAAAAGUUAUGUGCAUAUAGAAUCAUCGUGUGAUCCAGCAAUUCUACUUCUAAUACAUAUCUAAAAGAUGUCAAAGCAGAGACCCAAACAAAAACAUUUGAACCAAUGUUUUAUAGCAGCAUUAUUUACAAUAGCCUAAAGUGAAAACAACUCAAAGAUCCAUCAUCAGAAAAAAUGGAUAAACAAUAAGGUAUAUCCAUACAAUGGAAUAUUAUUCAGCCUUAAAAAGAAUGAUAUUCUGAUACAUGCCAAAAUAUGGAUGGCUUCAAAACAUUAUGUUAAGUGAAAUAAACCAGGCACAAAAAGGUCCAUAUUGCAUGAUUGCAGGUAAUUCAGAAAGUUCACAGAGACGGAAAAUAAAAUAGGAGUUACUGGAGUGUAAGGGGAAAGAAGAGUAGGGGAAAUAUUGUUUAGCGAGUACAAAGUUUCUGUAUGGGAUAAUGAAAAAGUUUAUAUAGUGGCAAUAGUCAUAUGACACUGUGAAUAUAUGUGAUAUCACUGAAUGGAUAGUACACUAAAAAAUUGUAAAUUUUAAUUUAUGCAUAUUUUACCUAACUGGUACACUGAAAAUUAUAAAUUUUAAGUUAUGUAGACUUAAAUUUUCCACAGGUAUUAAUGGAAUUUUAUGAAUUCCAGUAACACUGGGAACCAGAAAUGGAGGCAAAUGGUGUGAAAGGCGAAUGAAGCUAAAGCACAGGGUCUCUUCUAACACUAUUUUUUAAAUAAAUCAGCAUAUAAAAAGGUACUUGCCUAUUUCAAUUUAAAUAAAAUGCAACCUAAAUACAUACCAUAAAAUAAAUUUCUUGCCUCUACCCAUAUUUUGUACUCAAAGAAUUUUAAAAUUUGAGGUGAUAUGCACUUGUAUUCUUAUAAAAAUAAUCAUCAAAUGCAAAUUAUGAACUACCCAUGUCAGGGACUUCAAAAAUCGUGAAUCCAUAUAUUUCUCAAUGAAAAGCUAUUAAAUGAACAUCUUAAUAUCUGAACUUAAUUGGCCAUCAUGCCUGCCUACUGUUGAUAUCCAUCUGGUUUUAUAUUAACCCAAAGAGUUCUGAUGUAAUUAAAUGGUAAUAUCCUGUUAUAAAAUUUACAACUAAAUUCACAUUUUCUCUUCAACAUCCUUUUUUAUUUAUGUUUAAUAUUUCUACACAUAUUGAUUUAGGUUCAGAACUUGAAAGUCUAAAAUAAAUUAUGCCAGAUGAAAAUAAACUUGAAUUUCUGUUCAACUUAGAAGGACUCAAUUGUUUUUCACAACUUUAAAAUUCACCAGGAUUAACAUGAUAUAAUAUAUAAAUGUUUUUAUUAUAACUCUAAAGAGCUAAAGAAUAUUAUGAAAGUUUAUAAAUUUUUCUGAACCAAUAUAUAAUUAUGAAGCCUCUACUUCUUAAGGAAUAUCCUAAUAUUUAAUUCACACAUAAAAUAAAACAAAGGUAGAGUGGUUUACUGAUUAAGAUCUAUGGAAGAACUGAAAAGAAAUAAUAUUGAAGCUAUAUUUCCUGCAUAUAAAUCCUGGCUUUGCUAUUUAUUGUCUGAUCUGUGGACAAGUUUAUUUUUCUUGCCUCAGUAUCUUCAUCUUUAAAUGGGAAUAAUAGUACACUGGCAUCAUAGGAUUGUUCUGAAGAGUCAAUAAAGAACUUAAGAUAGCAUUUGACACAGAAAAGGGGGUCAGUAAAUAUUUUAUAUUAUUAUUAGUCCCUGGUUCAAAAAUAAGGAAAUUUAUGCUAAAAAAGGUCACGUUCCUUGCCAAAGUAAUACAUGUGAUAAGAUGUGAGAUGGGACCCUAAUUCUCCAAAAAGUUUGAGAUUCUGGAAAAAAAAAAUUUCCAUUAUUGGAAGAUUAUGAUUAUUGAAGUUAUAUCAACAGCAUUUAAUCUUAAAAAUUAUAAUAUCUAUUGCUGCUACUUUUCAUUAUAAUAACAAACUUUUAUUGGGGAAAAUUUUGAUAAAAUCAGGAUGUGUUUUUUUUUUCCAUGCAAAGCACAAAGGGACUAUUUUUUGGUAAUUAUUCAUAGAUUUGAAGGUUUGUUCUUUUUUUUUUUCCUUUGUAAUAAUUCAGGCGCUUUAACCAAAAGCCAAUUUUAUGGUAAAUAAAAAUAACCAGAUGAAAUUCUGGUUUGGUCUGUAAGAUAGUUGUGGGUUAGUUUGCAAAUGAAAUCUUAGGAACAAUCUCCUCAGUUCUAAGACAUUCAGGUUUGGAUGGUAAAGAGCUGAUGUCCUCUGCAUAUGAGAGUUUAGCAUAUAAAAUAUAUCUUAAACCUUCAAUAGUUACUCUAUCCAAAAAAAGUUUCAAUUAAAUAUUACUGAUUAAAAUUUUUAAAAAAUCCAGAUAAUUUCAGGGUGAAAGCUUGCAGAAAGUUAACAAGGAUAAAUUACCAUAAAAAGAAUGGUCAGCUUUUUACAAAGCGAAGCAAAUUAGGCCUUACUCAAGACUCGUUUCAUGACAUUAUUUUCUGUGACUGACCAAAGUUUUCUUUUGUUUGUUUCUGUGAUAUGUGAGUUUAAUGUUUGUUUUCUAUCCUGAUUUUCUCCCUCCCAAUUGAUAAACUCUGCAUUCUCCUAAUAUUAUCAGCUAUAAAAAAUUAACCAAGCUAACUUUUAUUGGCUUGUUUUCUUAGACAACCAACAUGGUGCUCCCCUGACCCACUGGACCAUCAAGUUAUGUUGCGUGACAGGAGUGACUGAAAUCUGUGGAAAGGACUGCUCUCCAGGGAUUGUUUAAGAAGUAAAUGAGGAAACAUCUCUCACCUAUGAUGAUAGGGUAGUGAGUUAUUCUAUUGUUUAGAAUUGGGGUUAACUGUUUUUGUUUUAAACUCUGCUAAGGUUAUUUUUAUAGUGAUCUAAAAUUAAAAAUUUGUUGAGAAACUCAAGUAA